rnacentral:rRNA from 1 species
ACGCCGCGUGGGUGAUGAAGGCUUCGGGUCGUAAAGCCCUGUCAGGUGGGAAGAAACUCGUGGAUGCUAAUAUCAUCCACGCUUGACGGUACCACCGGAGGAAGCACCGGCUAACUCCGUGCCAGCAGCCGCGGUAAUACGGAGGGUGCAAGCGUUGUUCGGAAUUAUUGGGCGUAAAGCGCGUGUAGGCGGUCGGGUAAGUCAGAUGUGAAAGCCUUCUGCUUAACAGAAGAAGUGCAUUUGAAACUGCCCGGCUAGAGUACGGGAGAGGAGAGUGGAAUUCCCGGUGUAGAGGUGAAAUUCGUAGAUAUCGGGGAGGACACCAGUGGCGAAGCGGCUCUCUGGUCCGAUACUGACGCUGGGACGCGAAAGCGUGGGGACAAACAGGAUUAGAUCCCUGGUAGUCC